rnacentral:rRNA from 1 species
GACGAACGCUGGCGGCGUGCCUAAUACAUGCAAGUUGAGCGCUGAAGGCUGGUACUUGUACCAACUGGAUGAGCAGCGAACGGGUGAGUAACGCGUGGGGAAUCUGCCUUUGAGCGGGGGACAACAUUUGGAAACGAAUGCUAAUACCGCAUAAAAACUUUAAACACAAGUUUUAAGUUUGAAAGAUGCAAUUGCAUCACUCAAAGAUGAUCCCGCGUUGUAUUAGCUAGUUGGUGAGGUAAAGGCUCACCAAGGCGAUGAUACAUAGCCGACCUGAGAGGGUGAUCGGCCACAUUGGGACUGAGACACGGCCCAAACUCCUACGGGAGGCAGCAGUAGGGAAUCUUCGGCAAUGGACGAAAGUCUGACCGGGCAACGCCGCGUGAGUGAAGAAGGUUUUCGGAUCGUAAAACUCUGUUGGUAGAGAAGAACGUUGGUGAGAGUGGAAAGCUCAUCAAGUGACGGUAACUACCCAGAAAGGGACGGCUAACUACGUG